UAAUACGGAGGGUGCAAGCGUUAGUCGGAAUUACUGGGCGUAAAGGGUGCGUAGGCGGGGAUGUAAGUUAGAUGUGAAAUACCGUUGCUCAACAACGGCCGUGCAUCUAAAACUGCAUUUCUAGAGGGAUAGCGGAGAAAACGGAAUUCCACGUGUAGCGGUGAAAUGCGUAGAUAUGUGGAAGAACACCUGUGGCGAAAGCGGUUUUCUAGCUUCCCCCUGACGCUGAGGCACGAAAGCAAGGGGAGCAAACAGG
rnacentral:rRNA from 1 species